rnacentral:lncRNA from 1 species
AUUAAUAUAUAUAUUAAAAAUAUUCAUUAGAAAUAAAUACAUUAUAUAUUAAUUUUUACAAUAAUUUUGAAUAACACAUUCUACCAAUAAUUAUAUUAAACAAUUUAGCAAAAACAUACAGCUUUUGCAACAUACUGCUUCUAUAGCAUAUUAAUACCGCUUCAUCAUUUGUUAUGCCAAUCAAGACCUACGUAUCUAUCUUUCUAGUUUGAUGUAGUGUUCAAUUAAUAAAGGAAUCAACAAGUUCUUAUUUUUAGUUAUUUUGAAAGAAUGGUUAAAGUACCAUGCAUGUUUUCGUUUUGUAUAAACUUAUAUUUAGAUAUGUUAUUUAUGAGCAGUUUUCAUCUUUGGUUAUGGUUGUGUGAGAAACAACAAUGUAAGAAAAUGACAACUCCAAGCAUGCAUGGUAUGCUAAAAAAAACAUCACUAUCGUAUAACUCUUAUCUAGAGGAAACCAUUUUUUUUAUCUUAAACCCUUCAACCCAAGAGAGAGGUGAGAGAAUAUUUCUCUCCAGUGUCUCUCCCCUUCAACCCUUCUUAACCUAAUUUCCGCCGUCAACCUUAUUUCUCCUUUGGCGGUCGGCGAGCCACCUUCGCUGUCGACCUCCCACCUCUUCCAAUUUGCGUAAGCUUCAGUCUCUAGCCCUUUCUCCCUCUGUUUUCGUUACCUCCUCUCUGCCUCAA